GAAAUAUAUUAUAAUUAAGCUGCUAACUUAAUUUUUAGUGAUUUAUUAUCAUUAAUAUUUCU
rnacentral:tRNA from 3 species